AGAGUUUGAUUCUGGCUCAGGAUGAACGCUAGCUACAGGCUUAACACAUGCAAGGUCGAGGGGCAGCAUUGGGGUAGCAAUACUCAGAUGGCGACCGGCGCACGGGUGAGUAACACGUAUCCAACCUGCCGCUUACUCGGGGAUAGCCUUUCGAAAGAAAGAUUAAUACCCGAUGGUAUAAAGAGUUCGCAUGUUCUCUUUAUUAAAGAAUUUCGGUAAGCGAUGGGGAUGCGUUCCAUUAGAUAGUUGGCGGGGUAACGGCCCACCAAGUCUACGAUGGAUAGGGGUUCUGAGAGGAAGGUCCCCCACAUUGGAACUGAGACACGGUCCAAACUCCUACGGGAGGCAGCAGUGAGGAAUAUUGGUCAAUGGACGAGAGUCUGAACCAGCCCAAGUAGCGUGAAGGAUGACUGCCCUAUGGGUUGUAAACUUCUUUUAUAAGGGAAUAAAGUGAGGGACGUGUCCCUUUUUGUAUGUACCUUAUGAAUAAGGAUCGGCUAACUCCGUGCCAGCCGCCGC
rnacentral:rRNA from 1 species